rnacentral:rRNA from 1 species
UACAGAGGUCUCAAGCGUUGUUCGGAUUCAUUGGGCGUAAAGGGUGCGUAGGCGGUCGCGUAAGUCAGGUGUGAAAUCCCGGGGCUCAACCCCGGAACUGCACUUGAUACUGCGUGGCUAGGGUACUGGAGAGGAGACUGGAAUUUACGGUGUAGCAGUGAAAUGCGUAGAUAUCGUAAGGAAGACCAGUGGCGAAGGCGAGUCUCUGGACAGUUACCGACGCUGAGGCACGAAGGCCAGGGGAGCAAACGGG